GCGUCCUACAGACUUUAAUAUUAAUUGACAAAAGUCACCCUAUUUUGAAAAGUGAAACAACCCAAACACCAUUUAAAAAGGACUGUCGUCCCGCCCAAGUAUCCCAACAGGGGAAGACAGGAGGACGACCGCAGGGGACGCGUAGUUACUCAGAUCAUUCCUACUUUCAAGUAAGACCUGACAAUGCGAGCCAUCAUUCCACUGUUGGUGCUGAUAGUCGGCGUGGCCGUGAUGAUGACACGGGCAGAUGAUUCAUCAUCAACAUCAACAACCACCACA